GAUCCUGGCUCAGGUUGAACGCUAGCCACAGGCUUAACACAUGCAAGUCGAGGGGCAGCAUGGUCUUAGCUUGCUAAGGCCGAUGGCGACCGGCGCACGGGUGAGUAACACGUAUCCAACCUGCCGUCUACUCUUGGACAGCCUUCUGAAAGGAAGAUUAAUACAAGAUGGCAUCAUGAGUCCGCAUGUUCACAUGAUUAAAGGUAUUCCGGUAGACGAUGGGGAUGCG
rnacentral:rRNA from 1 species